UGGUGUUAGCGAAGGGGAAACACCUGUACCCAUACCGAACACAGAAGUUAAGCCCUUCAGCGCCGAUGGUACUGAGGUGGAGACGCCUUGGGAGAGUAGGUCGCUGCCGGAA
rnacentral:rRNA from 1 species